rnacentral:rRNA from 1 species
AUGGCCAGGGAAAGGUGUUGGACGGCGGACAGACUCGAGCGCCGACAACUACCGCACCCUACAGCUUGCCCCUUCUACGAUCAAGCACCAAAAACAAUAAAACGCAUUUUGCUAGGUUGUGUUCUGGCUAGGAAAGUAUGGCGCCCAAUCAUCGACAACUAGAAUAAACAAAACUGGCUACCAAGCGCGGAUGCAAAUCCAGUGGAAUGGUGGACGUCCAUAAACCCACAAAAACAACUCAGGAAGGAGACAUGGACCAUCAUUACACUUGUGGCAUGGAUGUUGUGGAAACACAUAAAUGACAUUGUGUUCAACGGAGUGUCCCCAUCCGCUAGUGAAGUGCUCAAGAAAUUUGACUUGGAGGGACAAGACUGGAGGACGGCCACGUUGCUGCGCGAGACAGGAUCGCUUCCGAUUAGAGUAGAUGUGUGA